rnacentral:lncRNA from 1 species
AUCAAGCAGUACUCAACGGGCAAUUAGCAAUAUCCAAACAUCAAGCAGAUUAAGGCAUCAAAUAAUGAUAGCCAUAUCCAAGCAAGCAAAUCCCAUAGCUAGCAGUCUUCUUUAUCUUCUCAUGUACCAGAUGAAAUAUUCCUUAAUCAACUCAGAAUAAAUCAUCAGACACAAGAUCAAAAUAACAAUUAGUACCAAGACAAAGUAGCUGAUGAAUUCAAAUAAAUCCCAAGAUUUGCAUCAAAUGAAGGCUCAGUUCACAAUAACUUGGUCUUAAAAUGUUGGCAUUAGUCAAGUCCUUUUUGCACAGAGAAUGUUGCCUAAUCCUAAGUCCAAAAGUUCAAAUCAAGAUCAACAGUCCACCAAAUGUUUUUUUAGGGUUUUUGUUAUUUAUUAAGUAUUUUAAGGUCCUAAGACCAUAAACAAAAUCAAAAUGCACAAACAAUAUAUACAAUCACAAGAUAUGGCUCAAAUGAGCAAAGUAAAAAUGGCAUAAACAUAAACAAGUUAAAUGAAAUGUAAAUGGCAAUGAAUGGUAAAUGACUGAAAUUCAAAUUAUAUAAAGUAAAUGACUUGAAAGUAAAGCAAUAUUAAUAAGAGUUAUUCAAAUGUUAGUCAAAGGUUAGUCAAGGGUUAGUGAUGUUUUUUAAUUGAUUAAGUCAUUCUUUGGAGAACAAUCAACCAUCCAUUCACAAGCAUGGAUCCUUGAACCAAGACAUCUUCCACGGGAAGGAAAAAAGGUCAAGUUUCCACACAAUACCAUGAAGGAUGGGAUACUUACAAUCUUACUUACUAGAAUGCUAUGCUUUUAGGGUCAAAUUUAGCUCUCUGUUAAGCAAUCAUAAUUGGACUUAUGUAGAAGUCACAAAUAUCUGAGGUCGAGCAAUAAAAAUUUAGGUGUUAAUGCAUGUUAGAGAUUUGGUAUAAUGAACCAAACUCCUAAAACAUACCACACACUAAAAGAAUAGAUCAAGAGGGGUUGACUUAUCUUAGUCAUACUUGUAUUGGUUCAUCUGACACAAAGUCAUUGAUGAACCAAUUAGCCUUAAGACAUUAGAGAUUUCAUUGGUCACAUGAAGGAAUGGGAAAGAAUAGGGAUGAAGAUGAAGGGGGAAAGGAAUGAGAGAAACACAAAUUGGUCAUGGUAUGAAUUUUACCAAAUUAAAACCAUUCAUUCAUUUUGGAAGAUGAAAUGUACAUUUCAUCAAUCCCCUAAAUCCAAGGGUUUUAAUCUAACAAAAGUCAAAUCAACCUUGACCAAGGCCC